rnacentral:rRNA from 1 species
UUAAUACCAGCAUCACCCAUGCCUACAGUAUUGUUAUCGGUAGCAAGCACAUCACCUUGAAUGCCACCGGAGGCGGCUUUUUGACCGCCUCCAAACAAUUUAGACAUGGCGCCACCAGCAAGAGCAGAAGCAAUACCGCCAGCAAUAGCACCAAACAUAAAUCACCUCACUUAAGUGGCUGGAGACAAAUAAUCUCUUUAAUAACCUGAUUCAGCGAAACCAAUCCACUUA